UGGUGGAGGUGAUGGAGUUUUGAUGGUGGAGAUCGUGAUGGUGGAGGCCUCCCUGGGGGUACCCCUGAGUCAGACUCCAACCCCUCUUUGAAUUUCUCUGUUGACCUCAGACCAGCGACACUGUGUGGUGCCAUGACAAGCCUGAGCCUUCCCUAGGAUUGGGUUCCUUUGUAGGAUCCCAAGUGACACCCACGCCAGACAUUUCUCCUGGGGUCUUUACCUACUAAGCCCCAGACUCUGGGGGGCAUUCUAGAGGGUCAAGCGAUGCCCUAGGAGGGCUGAACCAGAUACCCACCUGUCCCGCCAUGUCUAGUUCCUCUAGCUGUGUGCUUUCCACGCCUGUUGGAUUAACUGGGUGAAAUCUUACUUAGUAUACCCUUGUUAUUCAUUGGUUGGAAACACCUUUCAAUGGAGCACCUUGGAUUGGUGUUGAGACCACUUGUUCUCUACGCCAGGAUGUAGUUUGGUUCUUUCUAAUAAA